rnacentral:ncRNA from 1 species
ACUAUGGAGUGUACAGGAACUUGUGAGUAGAUAUGAUCUCGGUCAAUCCAAAGCAUACACGAUGAAGUAGUAA